CACGUAGGGCGCAAGCGUUGUCCGGAAUUAUUGGGCGUAAAGAGCUCGUAGGCGGUCUGUUGCGUCCGCUGUGAAAACUCGGGGCUUAACCCCGAGCCUGCAGUGGAUACGGGCAGACUAGAGGUAGGUAGGGGAGAAUGGAAUUCCCGGUGUAGCGGUGAAAUGCGCAGAUAUCGGGAGGAACGACCGGUGGCGAAGGCG
rnacentral:rRNA from 1 species